CCUACGGGAGGCAGCAGUGAGGAAUAUUGGUCAAUGGACGCAAGUCUGAACCAGCCAUGCCGCGUGAAGGAAGACGGCUCUAUGAGUUGUAAACUGCUUUUGUACGAGGUUAAACGCAGAUACGCGUAUCUGUCUGAAAGUAUAGUACGAAUAAGGAUCGGCUAACUCCGUACCCGCAGCCGCGGUCAUACGGAGGAUUCCAGCGUUAUCCGGUUUUAUUUGGUUUAAAGGGUGCGUAGGCGGUCGGAUAAGUUAGAGGUGAAAUCCCGAGGCUCAACUUCGGAAGUGCCUCUGAUACUGUUCGUCUAGAGAGUAGUUGCGGUAGGCGGAAUGUAUGGUGUAGCGGUGAAAUGCUUAGAGAGCAUACAGAACACCGAUUGCGAAGGCAGCUUACCAAGCUACUUCUGACGUUGAGGCACGAAAGCGUGGGGAGCAAACAGGAUUAGAUACCCCUGUAGUC
rnacentral:rRNA from 1 species